rnacentral:rRNA from 1 species
AGUGAACGCUGGCGGUAGGCCUAACACAUGCAAGUCGAACGGCAGCACAGUAAGAGCUUGCUCUUACGGGUGGCGAGUGGCGGACGGGUGAGGAAUACAUCGGAAUCUACUUUUUCGUGGGGGAUAACGUAGGGAAACUUACGCUAAUACCGCAUACGACCUACGGGUGAAAGCAGGGGAUCUUUGGACCUUGUGCGAUUGAAUGAGCCGAGGUCGGAUUAGUUAGUUGGCGGGGUAAAGGCCCACCAAGGCGACGUUCCGUUUCGGGUGUGAGUGGAUGGGCAGCCACCCUGGAACUGAAGCACGACCCCGACUCCUACGGGAGGGAGCGGAGGAGAAUAGUGGACAGUGGGCGGAGGCCUGAUCCAGGCCUACCACGUGGGUGAAGAGAGCCUUGGGGUUGUAAUGCCCUAUUGUUGGGAUAGAAAAACAACGGGUGGGUACCCCGCUUUUCUGACGGUACCGAAAGAAUAAGCACCGGCUAACUUCGUG